rnacentral:rRNA from 1 species
AACGAACGCUGGCGACAUGCCUAACACAUGCAAGUCGAACGAGACCUUCGGGUCUAGUGGCGCACGGGUGCGUAACGCGUGGGAACCUGCCUUUAGGUUCGGAAUAACUCAGAGAAAUUUGAGCUAAUACCGGAUGAUGUCUUCGGACCAAAGAUUUAUCGCCUUUAGAUGGGCCCGCGUUGGAUUAGCUAGUUGGUGGGGUAAAGGCCUACCAAGGCGACGAUCCAUAGCUGGUCUGAGAGGAUGAUCAGCCACACUGGGACUGAGACACGGCCCAGACUCCUACGGGAGGCAGCAGUGGGGAAUAUUGGACAAUGGGCGAAAGCCUGAUCCAGCAAUGCCGCGUGAGUGAUGAAGGCCUUAGGGUUGUAAAGCUCUUUUACCCGAGAUGAUAAUGACAGUAUCGGGAGAAUAAGCUCCGGCUAACUCCGUG